UGUUGCUUGCAAGGGCGUAUGGUGGAUGCCUUGGCAGACAGGACCGAUGAAGGACGUUUGAGGCUGCGAUAUGCCUCGGGGAGCCGCCAACAGGGCUUUGAUCCGAGGAUUUCCGAAUGGGGGAACCCACCGACCGUCAUGGGUCGGUACCGGCUUCGGCCGGGGGGUACGCAGGGAAGUGAAACAUCUCAGUACCUGCAGGAAAGGAUAUUCCGUGAGUAGUGGCGAGCGAAAGCGGAUGAUGGCCAAACCUUGCGCGUGUGAUACCCGUCGGGGGUUGCGCGCGGGGUGUUGCGGGAUCGCGUGCGCCGGCUCCGACGGGCCGGCCGGCAGUUGCAGAAAACGAUGUGUCAGGGGAACCGGGUUGACUACCGGGCCGCAGAGGGUGAGGGCCCCGUACCUGAACGCGCAUGGUCUGCCGAUCGCGUCUCCCAAGUAGCACGGGACCCGUGGAACCCCGUGCGAAUCCACCCAGACCGUUGGGUAAGCCUGAAUAUUCCUGUCUGACCGAUAGCGAACGAGUACCGUGAGGGAAAGGUGAAAAGUACCCCGGGAGGGGAGUGAAACAGUCUCUGAAACCGUGCGCCUACAAUCCGUCGGAGCCCUUUUGUGGGGUGACGGCGUGCCUAUCGAAAAAUGAGUCUGCGAGUCAGUGGCAUGUGGCGAGCAUAACCCGUGUGGGGUAUGCGUAGCGAAGGCGAGUCUUAAAAGGCGUUUGAGUCGCGUGUCCUGGACCCGAAGCGGGAUGAUCUAGCCCUGAGCAGGUUGAAGCGCGGGUAAGACCGCGUGGAGGACCGAACCCACCUGGGUUGAAAACCGGGGGGAUGACUUGGGGCUCGGGGUGAAAGGCCAAUCAAAUUCCGUGAUAGCUGGUUCUCUCCGAAAUGCAUUUG
rnacentral:rRNA from 1 species